rnacentral:lncRNA from 1 species
GGUCCCGCCCCACUGCCAGCACCUGGAGCAGUUUCCGCAGUCGAUGAUGGCGUUGUAGGAGGCGUUUACCGAGCCGAAGUAGUACUGGGUCUGUUUCAUGACGCAGCUGCUCUCGCGCGUCUCGGGGCUCCCCUCGGCCUCCGCGGGGUCUGCGAGGGCCCAGAGCGCCUCAGCUCCGCCCACAGACCCUGGCAAGGUCUCCGGCCUCCCUCAGUCGUAGACCCCACCCUCCCCAUGGAGUCGUCUUAGCUCAGAUUGGGGACCCGGACUUGAGGAGGCGCCUCCAAAGCCCUACCUACCUGCUUGGAACCAGCUGUGGUAGAUGAGGCCGUAGAGAAGCUGCUGGAACAGGGACCUGCAGCGCACGGGGAGCCGAGUGCAGGUGGUCAGCAGAGGACGAUGCCAUGCCCUACUUCUCUUCUGAGCCCUCCCGGCCAGGGAGCACCUUCUCUACCCACCUCCCGCUCAGGACUCACCAGGCGGCAGCAGAGGUCCACCAGGCCAGCACCAGGAAUCCUCCAUCAUCAAUGAGGACACAGAGCUGGGUGAUGCCUACGUGUUGAGAUCCUGGUCCCUCCACACACGCUCUACCAGCUGCUGCGUGAUGCCCGUGUCCAAGAUCAGGUUGUGCAGAAGGAAGUUGUUGCCUGGAACAGGAGGGGAGGGGUGGGGGUGGGGGCAUCUUCUUGCAGCUCCUUGCCCACCCUCACCCCCACCCUUAAGGCUCCACCAGGAGCCUCCUCCAUGACCUGGCCCUGGCCCAGGCCCAGCCCUUAGCUUGUGCCUGCUUAUUUCCACACCUGCCCGGCCUCUGGGUUCCUCUGGGCUGGCCCCAUGCUGCCUGGGCACUGCCCAGAGCCAGCUGCCCUGCCAGGCACUCACACUGCUUGGAGUCUGGAGUCACUUUCUCCAUGAGCUCAAUAAAGUUUUUCAGGAACUCGG